GACGAACGCUGGCGGCGUGCUUAACACAUGCAAGUCGUGCGGUAAGGCCCUUUCGGGGGUCCACGAGCGGCGGACGGGUGCGUAACACGUGAGCAACCUGCCCUUCACUUUGGGAUAACUGCCGGAAACGGUGGCUAAUACCGGUAAUGACUUCCUCACGCAUGUGGGGUGGUGGAAAGCCUUCGGGGGGUGGGGGGUGGGCUAGCGGUGUAUCAGCUUGUUGGUGGGGUGUUGGCCUACGAAGGCUUCGACGGGUAGCCGGCCUGAGAGGGUGACCGGCCACACUGGGACUGAGACACGGCGCAGACUCGUACGGGAGGCAGCAGUGGAGAACAUUGGACAAUGGGCGCAAGCCUGAUCCAGCAACGCCGCGUGAGGGAUGACGGCCUUCGGGUUGUAAACCUCUUUCGCCUGCGACGAAGCGAGAGUGACGGUAGCAGGUAAAGAAGCACCGGCCAACUACGUG
rnacentral:rRNA from 1 species